AGAGUUUGAUCAUGGCUCAGAUUGAACGUUGGCGGCAGGUUUCAUACAUGCAAGUCGAACGAGUAAUCGCCCUUCGGGGUGUGCGCUAGUGGCGGACGGGUGAGUAACGCGUAGGAAUCUACCUAGUAGUGGGGAAUAACGUCAGGAGACUGAUGCUAAUACCGCAUACUACCUAAGGGUGAAAGCGGGGGAUCUUUUGACCUCGCGCUAUUAGAGGAGCCUGCGUUAGAUUAGCUUGUUGGUGAGGUAAUGGCUCACCAAGGCGACGAUCUAUAGCUGGUCUGAGAGGAUGAUCAGCCACACUGGAACUGAGACACGGUCCAGACUUCUAAGGAAGGCAGCAGUAGAGAAUAUUGCACAAUAGGGGAAACCCAGAUGUAGGCAUGCCGCGUGUGUGAUUGAAGGCCCUUUGGGUUGUAAAGCACUUUCGAUGGUGAAGAGAGCUGGCGCGCUAAUACCGCGAUCCAGUUAGACGUUAACCAUUAAAGAAGCACCGGCUAACUUCGUGCCAGCAGCCGCGGUAUAC
rnacentral:rRNA from 1 species